rnacentral:rRNA from 1 species
UUAGGGGUGAAUCCCAGGGCUCAACCCUGGAACUGCCUCUAAUACUGCUAGUCUUGAGUUCGAGAGAGGUGAGUGGAAUUCCGAGUGUAGAGGUGAAAUUCGUAGAUAUUCGGAGGAACACCAGUGGCGAAGGCGGCUCACUGGCUCGAUACUGAC